GACGAACGCUAGCUACAGGCUUAACACAUGCGAGUCGCGGGGCAGCAUGGGGGUUGCUUGCAAUCCCCGAUGGCGACCGGCGCACGGGUGAGUAACGCGUAUCCAACCUGCCCUUCACCACGGGAUAACCCGGCGAAAGUCGGACUAAUACCGUAUGUUGUCCAUUGACGGCAUCCGAUUUGGACGAAAGGUUUGGCGGUGAAGGAUGGGGAUGCGUCCGAUUAGCUGGACGGCGGGGUGACGGCCCACCGUGGCGACGAUCGGUAGGGGUUCUGAGAGGAAGGUCCCCCACACUGGAACUGCGACACGGUCCAGACUCCUACGGGAGGCAGCAGUGAGGAAUAUUGGUCAAUGGGCGUAAGCCUGAACCAGCCAAGUAGCGUGCAGGAUGACGGCCCUAUGGGUUGUAAACUGCUUUUAUGCGGGGAUAAAGUGGCCCACGUGUGGGUUUUUGCAGGUACCGCAUGAAUAAGGACCGGCUAAUUCCGUG
rnacentral:rRNA from 1 species